UCGGGAAUAUUGGACAAUGGGGGCAACCCUGAUCCAGCCAUGCCGCGUGAAUGAUGAAGGCCUUCGGGUUGUAAAGUUCUUUUGGCGGGGACGAUGAUGACUGUACCCGCAGAAUAAGCUCCGGCUAACUUCGUGCCAGCAGCCGCGGUAAUACGAAGGGAGCAAGCGUUGUUCGGAAUUACUGGGCGUAAAGGGCGCGUAGGCGGUUUAACAAGUCAGGCGUGAAAGCCCCGGGCUCAACCCGGGAAUAGCGUUUGAGACUGUUUUUCUAAGAGUUCGGAAGAGGUAAGUGGAAUUCCCAAUGUAGCAGUGAAAUGCGUAGAUAUUGGGAAGAACACCAGUGGCGAAGGCGGCUUACUGGUCCGACACUGACGCUGAGGCGCGAAAGCGUGGGGAGCAAACAGGAUUAGAUACCCGUGUAGUCCCUGAGCGGGC
rnacentral:rRNA from 1 species